rnacentral:rRNA from 1 species
CCCUUAGAUGUUCUGGGCCGCACGCGCGCUACACUGAUGCAUUCAACGAGUUUCUUCCUGGUCCGAGAGGAAUGGGUAACCUUUUGAAAGUGCAUCGUGAUAGGGAUAGACUAUUGCAAUUAUUGGUCUUCAACGAGGAAUUCCUAGUAGACGUAGUUCAUCAGACUGCAUCGAUUACGUCCCUGCCCUUUGUACACACCGCCCGUCGCUCCUACCGAUUGAAUGCUCAGGUGAGCCAUUCGGACUUUCAUCAUGCUGGUUUCCAGUUUUGAUGAAGGAAAGUCUUGCGAACUUUAUCAUUUAGAGGAAGGAGAAGUCGUAACA